rnacentral:rRNA from 1 species
GGAGGCAGCAGUGAGGAAUAUUGGUCAAUGGACGAGAGUCUGAACCAGCCAAGUCGCGUGAGGGAAGACUGCCCUAUGGGUUGUAAACCUCUUUUAUAAGGGAAGAAUAAGUUCUACGUGUAGAAUGAUGCCUGUACCUUAUGAAUAAGCAUCGGCUAACUCCGUGCCAGCAGCCGCGGUAAUACGGAGGAUGCGAGCGUUAUCCGGAUUUAUUGGGUUUAAAGGGUGCGUAGGCGGUUUAUUAAGUUAGUGGUUAAAUAUUUGAGCUAAACUCAAUUGUGCCAUUAAUACUGGUAAACUGGAGUACAGACGAGGUAGGCGGAAUAAGUUAAGUAGCGGUGAAAUGCAUAGAUAUAACUUAGAACUCCGAUAGCGAAGGCAGCUUACCAGACUGUAACUGACGCUGAUGCACGAGAGCGUGGGUAGCGAACAGGAUUAGAUACCCUGGUAGUCCACGCCGUAAACGAUGCUCACUGGUUCUGUGCGAUAUAUUGUACGGGAUUAAGCGAAAGUAUUAAGUGAGCCACCUGGGGAGUACGUCGGCAACGAUGAAACUCAAAGGAAUUGACGGGGGCCCGCACAAGCGGAGGAACAUGUGGUUUAAUUCGAUGAUACGCGAGGAACCUUACCCGGGCUUGAAAGUUAGCGACGAUUCUUGAAAGAGGAUUUCCCUUCGGGGCGCGAAACUAGGUGCUGCAUGGUUGUCGUCAGCUCGUGCCGUGAGGUGUCGGGUUAAGUCCCAUAACGAGCGCAACCCUUACCGUUAGUUGCUAGCAUGUAAUGAUGAGCACUCUAACGGGACUGCCACCGUAAGGUGAGAGGAAGGCGGGGAUGACGUCAAAUCAGCACGGCCCUUACACCCAGGGCUACACACGUGUUACAAUGGCCGGUACAGAGGGCCGCUACCAGGUGACUGGAUGCCAAUCUCAAAAGCCGGUCGUAGUUCGGAUUGGAGUCUGUAACCCGACUCCAUGAAGUUGGAUUCGCUAGUAAUCGCGCAUCAGCCAUGGCGCGGUGAAUACGUUCCCGGGCCUUGUACACACCGCCCGUCAAGCCAUGGGAGCCGGGGGUACCUGAAGUGCGUAACCGCGAGGAGCGCCCUAGGGUAAAACUGGUGACUGGGGCUAAGUCGUAACAAGGUAGCCGUACCGGAAGGUGCGGCUG